rnacentral:misc_RNA from 1 species
UGGGGGAUGUGGAAGUAUGGUAACGAGUGGUGGCUGUGGUAGUGGUUGUGGCGGUUGUGGCGGUGGAUGUGGAAGCAUGUUCAAGAGUGAUGGCAAAGCGCCUGGAGAUACAGUGGAGAGUGGUGGUUGUGGUGGCUGUGGAGUCGGUUGUGGUGGUAUUGUUGGGAACCCCCACAUGGAUUCUUCCCCCAUAGAUUCAUCCAUCUAUGCGAAUGAAGCAAUAGUCGCUUGAUCACUAUGAAUUUAUAAGUGUCUGCGAGGAGCAUUCUUAAUAAAGUUCAUUAAAAAAUGGAAACUCUUAAAUUCAAUAAAAAAAAAAAUCAUGAUCGUGAAGUGUCAUGAAGAAAUAAGGUUGUCUUCAUUAUUGCCAAGUACAGUGGUAUAUAUCUCUACAUAUGGUGUCUAUUACACAAGGUUCUUCCAUCUUCUUUGAGUCAUGGGUCGAACCGACACUCCUUGUGUUUCCUACUUGGAUGUUCAUGAAACUAGAGUAUUGGCAUAUUUCUGGUUUCUGUAUUGGAGUGAAUUAGCUAUCAAAGUGAUCUGACAAGUCUGCCUUGGUUCAAUUACAUUGAUAUUUCAGUUUUAUUGAGCAGUGAAUUUUAUUAUAUUAUAAUAUAAUAUUUGAACUUUUCCCUUUUCCAGUCAGAGUCAACAACAGGACUAUGUGUGAAAUUAUGCUCUGCAUCUGAACCGUGAAAGCUAUUAGAAAUUUGCAAAUAUCCCAAAAUUACUGUAUGUCUUGUCAAUAACAAGUGAAGAUUUGUAUUUCACAUUCAAGGUUAUUAUGCUGAAAUCAAAACAAAUCCAUUGGACCUACUAACUCCAUUUGCACUCAGAAUAUCUCACUCUUCACUCUAGAAUGGGAUGAAUUUAACCUUUGGGCUAAUUAUUUAAAAAAACAAUUUCAACUCGAGAUCUAAUUUUCAAUUAUAAUUAUUUUUUUUUAAAUAUAAUUGAGGAUUGUGAUUGAAAUUCAAACUCCAUAUCUCAAUGGAGACGAUUU